GCAGGGGGGGACGGAAUUCCGGGUACGGUGAAGGGUGGGAUCGGAGGACACCAGUGGGAAGCGGCUUUCGGCCUGUACUGCGCUGAGCGCGAAGCGGGGAGCAACAGGAUUGAUACCUGGUGUCCCCCCGUAACGAUAGUGCUAGUGUGGGGGCUCGCCCCUCAGUCCGAAGGUACCCAUUAGCACUCGCCUGGGAGUAGGCCGCAAGGCUGAACUCAAAGGAAUGACGGGGCCCGCACAAGCGGUGGAGCAUGUGGUUAAUUCGAAGCAACGCGAAGACCUUACCAGGGCUUGACAUCCCGCUGACCCCUCCAGAGAUGGAGGUUUCCUUCGGGACAGCGGUGACAGGUGGUGCAUGGUUGUCGUCAGCUCGUGUCGUGAGAUGUUGGGUUCAGUCCCGCAACGAGCGCAACCCUUGUCGUUAGUUGCCAGCAUUUCGGAUGGGCACUCUAACGAGACAGCCGGUGAAAGCCGGAGGAAGGUGGGGAUGACGUCAAAUCAUCAUGCCCCUUAUGUCCUGGGCUACACACCUGCUCCAAUGGCUGGUACAAAGGGCAGCGAACCCGCGAGGGGGAGCCAAUCCCAAAAAGCCAGUCUCAGUUCGGAUCGCAGGCUGCAACUCGCCUGCGUGAAGCCGGAAUCGCUAGUAAUCGCGGAUCAGCAUGCCGCGGUGAAUACGUUCCCGGGCCUUGUACACACCGCCCGUCACACCACGAGAGUUGCAACACCCGAAGUCGGUGAGGCAACCUU
rnacentral:rRNA from 1 species